rnacentral:tRNA from 1 species
ACGAUCAAGUAAAAGCUGCUAACUUUUUUCUUUUAAUGGUUAAAUUCCAUUUAUACUUCUU